UCACACAUGUGGGGAAGAAGCAGAGGGUCAGAGUCCCAUGUGUGGGGGCUGAGGGUGGUAGGCACAAGGUGAUGUCAGAAGCCCUGGGGGUCAGGGCAGGCUGGGGGGCGCAGGAGGUAUGGAGGGUGGUCACACAGGCCUGGGGCAUAAGAGAAUGUCAAGAUGGACUUUGGGGUCGUGGAGGGAUGAGGGGGCAGGCACAAGGUGGAGGUCAAAUCCAGCCUUGGGUUGAGGUUAAGGCUGAGGGUUAGCAAGACCAGGGCAGGGGGUGAUAACAGGUGGUGGGGCAGCAAGGGUCAGGAUCCUAGGGAGGCCAGUGGGUGCUGGGGAGUGACAAGCACAAGGAGGGGGUCAGAUCUCACCAGGGCUCGGGAGUGGGGGCAAGGCAGCCCUAGGGACAUGUCACCACCAGGGGAGCAGAGGUUGACCUACCCUCUGCCCCAGGAUGCCCCAGAGAGGAGGUGCAGGUAUGACAUCCAUGUACCCCCUAGUUCUUCACCUUCUCUCCAGCCUCCGUCUUACACACCCAUGAGCAAUCUCACCCCCCAAACCACUCUCAUUCCCCUGAGGGAGGCUGCAAGGGCACCUCAGCACCCCCAACGCGCCCCCACUCCAUCCCUACCACCUGGAAUGGGCUAGGCCCCUGGUAAGGAGCUGAUGCAACAUGGGUAUCGUGAGAAACAACUCGGGCACCUCAAAAGCCCUCAUGACACACAGUCCACUCUCACCUUCCAAGGCCAAGCUGCCAACACAGUUGGGAAAACAGCCCCCAAAAUUAAUAAAGACAGGGCUUGUUCUGGUUGGAAUGAAGCAAUUCCAUCACAGUUCACUUGGCUCAUUGCAGGCAACGGGGGCAGGACCCAAAGCGCUGUGGGUGUUGCACCCACUCGCUGCAAGGCUGAAUCAGCUUUCCAGAAAGCAAACAAGCAGGAGAGGAUUGUUGGGAAAGGAAGUGGCCAGGCCUGUCCAAGGGGAGGCAGGCGUGGAUUAGCAAUGGGGGUGGAGGUUCCUAGAGCUCAAUAAAGGAUUCGCCAGGGCUGGGAACGCUGGAGGACAUCCGUCACCUCCCCUUUACUGCAUGACAUCGAGCGAUUUAUGACCGAACUGGAACUGACUAGUUUGGCAAAAGGGAUGCAGAGAGGAGCCGACAUAGCAUCACGGCAAAACUGCUCCUGCAAGGACCAAAUUCCCAGGGAGAACCUCCUGAAGAAUCCACUGCAGCCAGGAAUGUUUUCCAAGACAUCCCUUGAGGUACCACUGAGUUCCAGGCCUGUCAGAGGACCUGUGGCCACAGUCCUGGGCUCUGCCAGGAACAGGAGCUGGUGACAUCUGAUAAGGAACAGAUAGACUGAGGACUGGGGCUCAUCCACUUCAGCACAUUCUGGAAAGGCAGCCCUUGUGUUUUGCAGUCCAAGGGCUCUGCUCCUGGAUGUCCAGCAGCUCAUCCUCUGCUGUAGUCAUAUCCUUCCUGACGCUCAUCUGCUGCACACUGAACUGUGGUCCUCUCCACCUUCAUCCUCUGAGAAACAACUCAGAGCAACACUUCCAGAUGAAGUUUCCUUUCCAAGAUGCCAAAAUUGCACCUCACACCAGACAUGGCAGCUGGUCCCUUUAUGGCACAGAGAGGGAAGGAAUCAACAAGUUUCAACUGUAUUUCUGGCUGUAAGCAGGAAUUUCAGAGCAGCCUUUAAGGAUUCCACUUACUGUCAGCAGAGUAGAGGACACAGCUCUGAAAGGGGAUGCACUGCACAGCCCAGCCUGGUACAACACUUCCAACUGUGCUGUGCCAGAGCAUCUGAGAUUGGGCUCCCUGGAACAGCAAAGAUCUCUCAGAGGCCCUGAGCUCUGGUCCCCAUCCUCCUUUCAGAGGAGCUGGUUAUGAGCAACAGAGUAUGUACAUGGCUGACCAAAUAUUAUCUCAUCCAUGGGGACAAGCCAGCUCUCCUCCACCACCAGCUCUGCCAAAUUGCUCCUGUGCACAUCCUGCUCUCCAGUGUUAAUGCCUCUGAUUGCAUUGCUGUGGUAGCUCUCUUCUUAUCUCAGCCUCCUCAGAUGUCAGUAAUAUCCCUAGUACACAGCACUUGUAUCAUGUUUUGAAGAACAACUCCACUGCCACAGCCAUUUUCUUUGUCCCUGGAUUUGACUGGAGCAUGGAGCUCCCCUCCACAGGCACAGGACACUCAACAAAACAGCAGCAAGUUUUGCUUGCACCCUGCCUUCACACCAUAGCCUCUCUGCUAACCCACAGGUUAGGUUAGACCAAAAUUGGGUAAGAUUUUUUAGAGAUUUUAACAGAGAAGAUAACAAAUUCCUUCUGCCUUCAAUUUUGAAAAGAUAAAAUGUCAGAAGUCAAGAUUCUGAUCUUUUUAAUGUGUUUUUGGUGACUUUUCUUUGUCUCUGCUUUCCAGGCUUGUGGAAUACACUAACUGCAUUUUCCCAAGCAUUUCUGUACUGCCACAAGGUCUGGAAAUCUACUGAUACAAGGUACACAAAAGAAGAGCUGAGAUUCCUCAGUGAUACUUUGACACAGGCAGCUGAGGACUGGAGAAAAACAACAAAUAGCCUGAACCUUUAAAAGGUAAAAGUUGGCAUGAGUGAUCUCAAAUCCAAAUAUUUUACAACACUGGGGGGGAAAAAACCCCAACCAAAACCCACAAGAAGAAUACAACACUCAACAGGCUUUUUAAGAUUUUAGCAACAGGGGAUGAUGUCAGCUCCAGGAAUCACAUCCUGAAGAGGUCCAACCGUUGUCUGCAAAAAAGGUUCUGUUAGACCUAAUGAGGCACAAGCUGCCAAUGAAGAUUUUUCUAGGCUUGGGGCAUUGAAAACAUGUCACUCUUGUGCAGAUUCUUGCCUAUUAAGGGUAGGGUUUCUGCCACACUAAGAACGUUAGUGUCUUUGCUCAUUUUCCUUAGGGAGAAAACUGGUAUUUGAGUACCUCAAAGAUAACAUGCCAUUGCCUGACUCCUUCCUGAGGCCAUUCCGAGAGCCUCCACCCUCCCACACAAUGGAGUUUAUCUCUGAAGUUGUUCCUGCCCCUCCCUCUGUCUACACCUUCAGGUAACCCACUGGGGAGGCUUUGAUACCCAAACCCAGUAGGAAAGCAUCCAGGUCUCUCAGCCUGCAAAGAAGCAUCAAGCCAUGUGCAGUCUCAGAGCCCUGAUCCAAGACAACGUGUGUCCUGCUGCUGGAGGAGGAAGGCAGCUGUGUGCAGGCACCUGGAAUUGUGCAGUCACCUGCAACAGUUCAGCCGAGGGAACAAAAUCUCACAAGUAGGAAAGGAACACCUCUGCGAUCCCAAAGCACACAGUACUGGAAACAUCUGCUAGUUCUGCAAGCACAUGAACCAAUGUGAUUCUCCUGGAAGUUCCAGCAAAUCCUUCCCUGCCCUCGCUCACUCUUGGAUUCCCGGAAUACAAGAGGACUUUAUUUUCAACCUGGUUUGCCACUUGCUUCUCUUUCUCCUGCAUAAAAUGGGCAUAAUUGUGGGAAGAGAUGGGAUGGAGUUGAGCUGCAGGCUGUGGCAUGCACUUGCAGAAGCACAUCGGAGCACAAAGAAGCACAUGGCAGCAGAGAGGCUUGUCUCUGCCUGACCUUGGGGACAGCAGGUGCCACGUGGCAGAGCCCUGCAGAGAGGAGCCUGCCCAAAGCUGACAGACAGGUGAACAGUGCGUGAUCCCAGAGAAGGAUAUGAGGAAAGUGUGUUGCUGAUGUGUGAGGUGUGAUAGGUCGCUUAGUGAGAAUUACCAUGGAAGGAAAUACUGUGCCUUGAAAACGUGAAUAAAACCAGCUCGUUUCUUUGAAUAAACAAUUCAGAUUCCCUGCC